UACGUAGGGUGCAAGCGUUGUCCGGAAUUAUUGGGCGUAAAGAGCUCGUAGGCGGUUUGUCGCGUCUGCUGUGAAAACCCGAGGCUCAACCUCGGGCCUGCAGUGGGUACGGGCAGACUAGAGUGCGGUAGGGGAGAUUGGAAUUCCUGGUGUAGCGGUGGAAUGCGCAGAUAUCAGGAGGAACACCGGUGGCGAAGGCGGGUCUCUGGGCCGUAACUGACGCUGAGGAGCGAAAGCGUGGGGAGCGAACAGG
rnacentral:rRNA from 1 species